UGGGGUGUAGCUCAGUGAUAGGGUGCUUGCCCAGUAUGCACAAGGUCCUGGGUUUGAUCCCCAGCAUCACAA
rfam:Ictidomys tridecemlineatus contig020482, whole genome shotgun sequence.